rnacentral:rRNA from 1 species
AUUGAACGCUGGCGGCAGGCCUAACACAUGCAAGUCGAGCGAGCGGCGGACGGGUGAGUAAUGUCUGGGAAACUGCCUGCUGGAGGGGGAUAACUACUGGAAACGGUAGCUAAUACCGCAUACCAUCAGAUGUGCCCAGAUGGGAUUAGCUAGUAGGUGGGGUAACGGCUCACCUAGGCGACGAUCCCUAGCGGGUCUGAGAGGAUGACCAGCGACACGGGAACUUAGACACGGUCCACACUCCGACGGGAGGGAGCAGUUGGGAAUAUUGCACAAUGGGCGCAAGCCUGAUGCAGCCAUGCCGCGUGUGUGAAGGAGGCCUUCGGGGUGUAAAGCACUUUCAGCGGGGAGGCGUUACCCGCAGAAGAAGCACCGGCUAACUCCGUGCCAGCAGCCGCGGUAAUUC